GGUUGAGGUGGAUGAAAGAAAAUGAUGGAUGACUAAUAACAAGAAAAUGGAGAAUGACUAAAGAGAGAGGGUUUCUCCUAAGGGAUAUACCCAGUGUGUGGGUUGUUCUUUUUUUUCUUCUGCUUCCUCCUCCUUUUAUGAUCCUAAGGUAGCUUACUUUUCAUGCUGACCUCGCGCAUAAUGCGGAUUUUCACGCUAAGCGCACCUUUGGGCUUCUUCGUGGGCCUUAUGCACGCUAAGCCUGCAGUGCGCGCUUAGCCUAUAGCACGCUAAGCCUCCGAUUCUUCCAACUUUUUCUUUAAAGUCUUUUCUUCCAAUUU
rnacentral:lncRNA from 1 species